AACGAACGCUGGCGGCAUGCCUAACACAUGCAAGUCGAACGAGACCUUCGGGUCUAGUGGCGCACGGGUGCGUAACGCGUGGGAACCUGCCCUUAGGUUCGGAAUAACUCCCCGAAAGGGGUGCUAAUACCGGAUAAUGUCUUCGGACCAAAGAUUUAUCGCCUUUGGAUGGGCCCGCGUUGGAUUAGCUAGUUGGUAGGGUAAAAGCCUACCAAGGCGACGAUCCAUAGCUGGUCUGAGAGGAUGAUCAGCCACAAUGGGACUGAGACACGGCCCAGACUCCUACGGGAGGCAGCAGUGGGGAAUAUUGGACAAUGGGCGAAAGCCUGAUCCAGCAAAGCCGCGUGAGUGAUGAAGGCCUUAGGGUUGUAAAGCUCUUUUACCCGGGAUGAUAAUGACAGUACCGGGAGAAUAAGCUCCGGCUAACUCCGUG
rnacentral:rRNA from 1 species